AUUUAAAGUAUUAUACUGUCCUUUUUUAAACCUCCUUUUUCAAAUUUCUGUUAUUCAUUUCGCAGGCAAAUAAAAUUCUCAUUGAAGAAUAUCCCAAAAUGGAGGGGGAGGAAGGGUGGUUUUUCUACAAGUCUUCAGGACUGGCGAAGUGAGGUCCAGGUUCUUUCUGUCACAAACUCACCACUUGUGCGCCCUAACAGAGAGUCCAGAGAUUGUGGCCAGGAUAGAAAGGAAUGCCCUAUAUGUUGUGGCUGCUUUCCAUCAGAUGAAAUUGUUCUGCAUGCAAGCCUGUGUGGUGAAAGGUUUGCCAUUCUAUCAUGUCUACAGGACAAUUUGAACUACAAUACAGACAGCUGUGUGCUACGCGAGGGAAGCUUAUCUAUGGCCGACAUGUCUAGUGACGAUGAUGUACUCCAGUGGCUUGCAAGCCAAGUAGAUGCAAGCAAAGAUUUUAAGAUCUGCAUCACGCGGGACAACCUUUUCCAAAGAGGCCUAAUUCAGUGACUGAGACAGAAGAAGGGCUCACCUGUCAACAAACUCAAUGUGACUUUCAUUGGCGAAGCUGGAAUCGACACUGGAGCAUUAAGCAAAGAAUUUUUGACUGAAAUGAUGCAUUGAGAGGCGACUGUCUGAGGGCAGUGGCAAGAAGGGAAAGAGUCCUGUCUACUCGAUUGGUGACCUAGAAAAUGGUUUCUACAGGUGGAGGAAGCAACUGAUCUGACACAGUUCACAGAUGAAAUCAUGAGUUGUGGUUACAUGGGUUUGCUUAAGUUGGACCAAAAGGACAGUAACAUAAGAGCCAUUGUUCUGCACGUUACAAUGCGUCUGAAUCCCAUGCUUCAGCAAAUUAGAAAUGGGUUGAAGGUCUACAACCUUCUGGAUGUGAUUGGGAAGCAUCAAACUCUCUGCUCAAAGCUGUUUGUCCCCAAAAAGGAUGAUGAAAGAGGCAGAAUGAAGACCAGCAAAUGUGUGAGCCUCUGACCCAAUAGGAGCUGCUAAGUCAAGAAGAGCACUGGAGUCAACAAACACACGUGAGCCUGUCUGUCCCGACAGUGAUGAAGUGGUUAACUGGACAAAGGCACAAGCCCCUUCUUCCAUCAGAGAGGGCAGAUUUUGAAAUAAAUCUAAGAUUUGAACACCACUGUAAUGAAAAAAUGCCAGGUCACAACAUUUGUUUCCCACUUGUAAGUGCCUGCACAAAUACAAUAACUGUUCCUGUUGAACAUCUGAAAACAUACAAGGAGUUCAGAGAUAUAAUGACAGUAGCAAUCAGAAUGGGUAGAGAUUUUGGGCUAGUGUAGAGGUCUUGUUUUUUGAUCACUGAUGUUUACUUCCCCAAAUCAGGCAGUAUUGUGAAUAUUUUUGGCAUUUCUAAUGGCAUUUCUUAAAUCUGUUCAGUGAGCUGUUUAUUAUUCUGUGAGAGUCUUAACACACAAAAAAAGACCGCUAGCACAAGUCGAACCAUAAAAAUAGCUCAAUGUUAGUGUUUGGUUUUCCCAUUGCAUUUUUUUUUUUAAGUUGGGACCACUGCUAACCAUUUAUUUGAAAAAGGUAAUUUAAGAACUCUGUAUUUGCAUUUUGUUUACAGAGCACUGACAAUUUUUCAUGUAAUAUAAACCUUGAAAUGUGAUGCUGUUCCUCAAUUCAUCGUUACUUGUACUAUUGAAAAGUUGAAAUUGUUCAGUCUUCCACAUACACAGUUUCAACACGUGUAUAGCAAAUUCAUGUCAUUCAAGUGAAAUCAACGUUGUGGGGGUUUACAUUUACUAAAUUGUCAGCAAAAAUUAACUUGGUUGAUGUCAAAACAAUAAAUGGACAUAAUGCCUAUG